rnacentral:rRNA from 1 species
GGGGAACCGGGUUAAACCGGAUUUAUUGGGUUUAAAGGGUCCGUAGGCGGAUCCGUAAGUCAGUGGUGAAAUCUCAUAGCUUAACUAUGAAACUGCCAUUGAUACUGCGGGUCUUGAGUAAGGUAGAAGUAGCUGGAAUAAGUAGUGUAGCGGUGAAAUGCAUAGAUAUUACUUAGAACACCAAUUGCGAAGGCAGGUUACUAUGUCUUAACUGACGCUGAUGGACGAAAGCGUGGGGAGCGAACAGGAUUAGAUACCCUGGUAGUCCACGCCGUAAACGAUGCUAACUCGUUUUUGGUUUUUCGGAAUCAGAGACUAAGCGAAAGUGAUAAGUUAGCCACCUGGGGAGUACGAACGCAAGUUUGAAACUCAAAGGAAUUGACGGGGGCCCGCACAAGCGGUGGAUUAUGUGGUUUAAUUCGAUGAUACGCGAGGAACCUUACCAAGACUUAAAUGGGAAUUGACAGAUUUAGAAAUAGAUCCUCCUUCGGGCAAUUUU